CUACUUCCCGGGAAAGCGUGGAGGAACCUGGCACAGCUCCACCGGAGCAGCCUUUCCCACUGCUCCUCUCACAUUCCAGCACUUCACGUGGGUAGAACUCACCAAUGGUGAUGUGAUUUAAACCAGCUGCACUCCCCUGUCAUUAACUGCAUCUGAACUAGGUAUCUGUAGAGCACUGGAAAAAGAGAAAAGCACCUGGUGAAGUUUUAUGGCUUCUUUUCAAGACAAAAAAACCAAA